CAGCCAGGAUAAAAUUGGAUCCUAUGACCUCUAUCUGACCCCUCUUUUUCCUGCCGCUCCUGCGAUAGCCAACUGAAAAGAUUCCAGUUGCUCCUGCCGGCCCCCUGGUAGUCUGGGGAAGGCAAGGAGGUCCUUGGGGGUUAAGCUGCAGCUGGUAGGGUGGGGCUGGUAGGGCAGAGCAGGCAGCAGCUACCAAAAGAGAAAGAGAAAAAGAAGGGAGAAGGUGCCCUGGCUGGGCUACCAUCCAUCCGGGAAGGUCCAAGUCCUAACAAGGCCCUCCAGGACAAGCGGGGGCGCCCCGCCCCCCAGGCGCCCGACGUGGACGCGGCCG
rnacentral:lncRNA from 1 species